AUACAUGGCGUUUAUUUGUAACUAAUAAAAGAGAAAAGAGAGUACCUUAAUUAAACCAAACUAAAACAAUAGAGUAUAGUGAACAAAAAACAAACAGUGGAGGCCAGAGAGAAAAGCCCCCUUCAGACAUGGAAUUUGAAACAUUUGAAAUGUAUCUACAUGUAAAUACCAGCCACCAGCAGUCAGACCAGGUGAGCCAAAUUGUACCUGAUGACCUGACUCCGCCCUCCGGACUCCUGCAGGGUGACACCAUGGAGGGGAAGUCUGUCCACAGAGGCUCGCAACAAGCCAGUGAGCUACUCAAAGAGCCAACUGGGAGUGAGGAGGACUCACAGGCCAAGACUUUAUACUGUGGUCUGCAGAAUUCACACUAAUGAUGGAGGACAGACCAACGACUACAUGAGAGGAAGGCUCAAGGAUAGUGGAGAAAAAUGUCCCGAGGAAGAAACUGUCCGGAUUUCCCACAGACGGUGAUGGCUUUAAACUCCUCGGCGAUCUCCAGCAGGGUCUUCCCUUUAGUCUCAGGCAGGAGGAAGAAGGUGUAAAGAGAACCCAGCAGGCACAUACAGGCGAACACCACAAAGCAGUACGACUCCAGGGCGUUCUGGGACAAAUCAAACACAGUGUGAAGCAUCAGAGAGAGCUUCAUGUUUCAAUGUCAUGAUCCAAAGAUAGGCCCAUCACAGUGGUUAAGAACCAGCGUUGGAACCCCGUGAGGACAUACGCUGCCGUUCGGUCGGACUGGGUGAAGAGCUCAUUGGUCAGAGUACUCGUGGCCCCCGCUGGGUGAUCCAAAGAGACGACACAGGUGAUUAAGUAUCAACAGGUUUACCUUCAGGGUGAACGUGACAGUGGUGAACACCAAGCUGGCAGACAUGAUACAAUAACCCCCCCAGAUCAACGGCUUCCUCCCAGUGUGCUCAAUCAGCAGCCCCUGGGAGAGAGAAAGGAGUAGAUGACGGCCAUGGUGAGAAGCUGCCAUCGGACAGUCCUGUCCCUCAGCACCUGCAGAGGGCUCUUUUGUGGGGCUGCCUCAAUGGCCACCUGCUCAGCCAACAUCUCGUCCAUCUCCUGUUUGUAGUCACCUUGGCCCCACAGACUCUGGAGAGCUGGGCCGGGCCGGCCGCACAUGCUUUUAGUGCAUGUUAGUGCAUGUGAGCGUGCCCCACUGGCUAGCUUACGGCCGCUGCUCUGCACGGCUCCCAUUCGGCGGUUACAGCUGAAAUCGCCGUCCCGACCAACGUUGCCAUCGCGAAAGCGUGGUACCCACCCUCCGGUUCCCCCUCAGGUAAACACUGUUAUCUCUGUCAGCACUGUUUGCCUUUGUUUUCACUGUUGGCACCAUUAUCUACGGGCUACCAGCUUAGCCGCUGCCAUGUUGAGAGCCGUGCAGAGGCAAUAGAAAUGCUCCCAAUCUCACAUUUAGCACCUUUAAUAUAAAUUCCAUUGUCCCCUAGAUGUCUUUACUUCAAACAACACCAAUCUCCUAAGAAUUUAAAGUGUUUUUGUUGACAAUUGUAGCUCAUCCUCAAAUAUUUCUUGGUGAAUUUCAAGAAGGGCAUUCUUUUGUGUUUAAUAUUCAAACUUUAAAAGGCUGUUUUGGUCUGGUACUGC